GACGAACGCUGGCGGCGUGCCUAAUACAUGCAAGUAGAACGCACAGUUUAUACCGUAGCUUGCUACACCAUAGACUGUGAGUUGCGAACGGGUGAGUAACGCGUAGGUAACCUGCCUGGUAGCGGGGGAUAACUAUUGGAAACGAUAGCUAAUACCGCAUAAUAUUAAUUAUUGCAUGAUAAUUGAUUGAAAGAUGCAACUGCAUCACUACCAGAUGGACCUGCGUUGUAUUAGCUAGUAGGUGAGGUAACGGCUCACCUAGGCGACGAUACAUAGCCGACCUGAGAGGGUGAUCGGCCACACUGGGACUGAGACACGGCCCAGACUCCUUCGGGAGGCAGCAGUAGGGAAUCUUCGGCAAUGGACGGAAGUCUGACCGAGCAACGCCGCGUGAGUGAAGAAGGUUUUCGGAUCGUAAAGCUCUGUUGUAAGGGAAGAACGGGUGUGAGAGUGGAAAGUUCACACUGUGACGGUAUCUUACCAGAAAGGGACGGCUAACUACGUG
rnacentral:rRNA from 1 species